ACAGGGCCGGACUCCACCUAGACUCCUCAAUCAAACCGGCCCAAACCUCUCGGCCCAGUAAUCAGGCCCUCACCAGGCUCAACUUCAGCCCUACCAUUCAACCCAGCCCGGAAAGGGGAAAAUGACCAAGAUGCCCCGCUGGUAGGUCCUUCCGCAUGCGUAUCAGAGGAGAAUCAUACGUAUCAGAGGAGAAUUAAUGGCCGUUACGCAUGGAGCAGGCGCCUGACACAUCCGUACAUACGGAGCUAGGCGACAGAAGACAGCUAGCAUUGUGGCAGAGAGACAGAUAUAUAUAUCACGGUAGAGGCCACGCA
rnacentral:lncRNA from 1 species